rnacentral:lncRNA from 1 species
UUUUACUACCAGCUUCUCAGUAGCUACUGUGUUGAAGCCACUUCUGCUGUAUCCUCUUCUUGUUCUUCCUCCUCCUCCUCCUCUCUCUCCUUCCUCUCCUCCUCCUUGAGAGCCAGAGUCUUACCAGGUAGUCUCUCGGAUGACCUCACAUUUCUGGGCAUCUUCUUGCCUUAGUCUUAAAAGUGUGGUGACUGCAGGCACUUGUCACAGUGCUAAGAGGAAAUUUCUUCACCUUUCCUUAUUUGAAGAUUAUCUUUAUGUGUGUGUGUGUGUGUGUGUGUGUGUGUGCGUGUGUCCACACGCACACAUGUCACAUGUGUAGGCAUGCCUCUGGAGGCCUAAAGAGCCAGCUAGAGUGAUUAUGAGCUGCCGGGUAUGGAUGCUGAGCUGAACUUGGGUCUCCUGGAAGAGAAGAAAGCUCUCUUAGCACUGGACGACCUCUUUAGCCCUGCCUUACAUCUAAGCAUGGUUUUGUUAGACUGAUGUUGCAGUUACUGUUUAUGGUGUCUGCUGUGGACAUGCUGCUUGUAUGUUCUAUGUGUCUCUCUUCAUCUGUGUUUUUGUUUUUCCUAAAGAACAGAUUCCACAUCUUUUUGCUAAAGCAGACAUCCCACUCUUAGGAAAAUCUCGGCUAACACGUAAGAUGCCUGUGUGAUAAAUACACACUACUCCGCCUUAAUUAAGGGAGCUGUAUAUUUGCUUACCAUCUCCUGUCCUUGCAAAGUGUUGAGUCAAGCCUGCUGCCAUAAGAUCUUUGCAGAGCUGAUGAACAAAGCCAGGGCUUCACAGCAGUGAAUCACUGUGUGAGUAAAGGUCCCAGUGCAGGCCUGUUUGAUGAGGCUACUAAAUAUACGAGAAUAAAAAAUAAUCAAAAUGUGGGGAUUGAGCUAUAGCUCAUUGAUGAAGAGCUGGGCGGCAUGGCAGUCUCUCAACACACACACACACACAUACACACACAUGCACACACAUACACACAUACACAUGCACACAGAGUGCGCGCACACACAUGCACACACCAUGCACACACACAUACACACACAUGCACACAUAUAUACACAUGCACACAUACACACACAUGUGCACACAAUUGCGCACACUUACACAAACACACACACAUACACACACAUACACAUGCACACACACAUGCGCACACCAUGCACAUACAUACACAAACACAUACACACAUGCAUACACACCAUGCACACAUGCACACACAUGCAUGAUGCACUCACAAAUAAUAGAAAGGAAAGUUCUGUAUACACUCCAAGCCUUGUGUCCACACACGCACAGCUUUUCUUGAGCCCUCUGAGACUUUGUAAAUGUAUUCUUCUCUCAUAUAUUAUAUCCUGACUGCACCCUUUCCUCCCUCCACUCCUUCUACUACCCCACCACCAUCACCAUCCUUCUCCCCCAAACCAAUUGCUCCCAUUUCCCUUUAGAAAAGAACAGGCCUCCCAGGGAUAGCAACAGAAUUCUACAUAAGUUGCAGUAAGUCUAGCUACACACUUCCAUAUCAAGGCUGGAUGAGGCAACCCAGUAGGAGGAAACAGGUCCCAAGAGCAGGCAAAAGAGUCGGAGACAGCCCUAUUCCCAUGGUUAGGAGGCCCACAGUCAGCUGCCUAACCAUAAUGUGUACGCAGAGGCUCUAGCCAGACCCAUGCAGGCUCAUGGCUGCCAUCUCAGUCAAGCCCUGCUUAGUUGAUUCUGUGGGCAGUGUCCUCCUGGCAUCCUUGACCUCUGUGGCUCAGAUAGGCUCCAUAGAUGAACAGAAGCUGGCUUAACUAUUCAGCAGAAGAGAUCUGCCACCUUAUGUUUGUUUAUUAGAACGGAUCUGAGGACAGUACUAGCCUACUGGAAUGAAGCAUUUGCCUCAAAGUAAACACCGUAAAUUUAAAAAGCCCGUCUCCUGAGAGAGCACUGGGUUGUGGGUUGUCAUCUGUGGAUGGUGAGUUUUAUUUCACUGUUACGAGUGACAGUGACUGGAGAUGAACUGGAGAGCAGUUUAUUUUCAUGCCAUUCUUAAGCCCCCGGAGACAAGAACUUAGAAGAUUGAUGGGUUUUUAAAAAUAACGCAAUCUGCAUUCUUUCCAAUGCUGUGGUCUCUGUAAACACACUACCUUGCAAAGCAGAGUGUGCCAAGAGAGUUGUGUGGGUGUCAUGCAUACAUACGUACGGAACAGAAGAAAGAGUCUCGAAAAAUCUACACAGAGUGGCCAUUUCAUAAGUACCCACACACACAGCGGGCAACCACAUUUCAAAAUAGAAUUAUCACUGAUUUAGAUUAAUGCCUGUAUUAUUUAAAGGCACAGGCAACUUUGGCAACGCUUGGGGGUUUUUUUGUACUUAAUUUUUAAGACUGUAAAUCUUACAUUUGUCAAGUCGUAAUAUCAAUGAAAAGAAAUGUUUUGGUGGCGUUUAAAACUUUAUAAUAUAGGACUGACUGUUGAAAGUUCAUAAGCCUGAGGAUUGACUAACUAAUUCACGAACAAUAUUUUGAUUUUAAGUUAUAAAACAUUUAUGUUAAGUCAGCAAAGACUAGAACACUC